rnacentral:lncRNA from 1 species
CUUUGAAGGGCACAUGUGAUAAGAAAGCAGUUUGGUGGAGACUGGGCUUGAAUGAUGGCUAUGUAGCUUAUUCACUGGACUGAUAACAUUUCAAAUAUAAUACAUGGAUUGUUACUUAUUGGUAACCUUGAAUCUGUUCAGCUCUUUAGCCCAUGAAGAAAGCGUAAGGCAGAAAGAAUGUUUGCCUGUUUUGAACAGAUAGCCUCUAAAUGUAGUGCCACCGACACAAACCAGCUCAACCCUAGAGACCCCAAUCCCUGCUGGCUGAGGAGCUGUUUCAGAAAGGAAUAGCCACCAAAUCUCAUUGUAUAGUCACCCACAUAUUUUGAUCUCUGUUGUUUCCAAGGUU